AAAUAUCCUGUUCGGAGCUGUGGUAAAAGAGUUGCAGGCCGUCAGAGGGGCAAGGUGAGUAGUCGCCUGUCACCACUCACCGACACACCGUGCUGCACGAAUUUUCGGCCAAUAGCUGUCUUUGUAUUUAAAAAUGUAUCGAAUUUAACUAAAACACCGACCAAUCAAAUCUGGAUUUCUAUCGCUCAUCUUCUUUCCACCUACAUGUUAUAUUACGUUACUCGUUAUCUGGUGCAUUCUUUUAUUGAAAAAUUUCCAUUCAACGCUUCGAGUACAAGCUCAGUAUCAAAGUUGCAAGUGGAUAUAUGUAGAUACAAUCUCCGGCACGGAGAUUUGUUAAAAUUUCUUUCAGCCAGUUUCGGAAUUUUCCAAUGAUAGACCAAUGAUGUGGUAAACAGUGUAUGUUUACUGGGUUAUUGUUAAUUUACGAGCAGAACAAGUGACAAGAAACGGAAUUAUCUGCAUUGGCUAACGAAGGCUGAUAAUGAAAUAAACUUGCCCAAAACGGCGCUGUACAGCCAAAUAUUUUACAGAUUAUACAGAUUUUUUCGUUACAGUAAUACAGGAUUUUUUCUUACAGGAAAUUACAGUAGAAGAACAUUGUCGAUAAGAAAAAUAUCAAUGUCAAUUUUGCUACUGGCUAGUAUGUAUUCAAAUCAUAUACAGGAUAUACCUAAAUUAUAUAUAAGCAGAUAAAUGUUUAUGAUUAAUUUUCGAGUGACAGAAAUAUGUAGAUACGUAUCGUGACAAUAUUCAUUCUUGCAAAUGUAAGUCACGUUUUGAUACGAUCGUUCAAUGCUAUUUUUAUCCGACCAUAAUGAAACAUAAAAGACAAAAGUUUUGAUUCUAGAUAUCCCAUUAUUGCAAUGAAAAUGGAAUGCAUUUGAAAACCAGUGAAUAUCGUGGGACGAAGAAACAUAAAUUAGAUAAAAUCGUACUCAUGGAAUCGGACUUAUGUAAUUGUGAAGUGCGUAGCGUAUUCUAUAUUAAUAGAAAUAGACUGUUAUGAAUGGCCAAAUUCUAAGGUUAACGUUAGUCUAUCGAUAAUAAACAACGAUGGCUCUCUGUCGUUCUUGGAAUACCUGCAAAUCGAAACUAUAAACAAAUUAUAUACGUACUAUUGCCACACUGAAGAAUUCAAUAUUCAACGUGGCGAAUAGUGCUCUGAAACAGUCAGUUGAAUUACAAAGUUUGCAAGUUAUCUGUAUGUACAAAUAUUCUUCUUCACUCAUCUUCAUGCAUAAAAGCGAAAACUAUGCAUUUAAUACAAUGUUUCUUGUAAUAACGGUAAGAUACAUAAUUGAUAAAAGUAUAAUAUCUAAUCUUAUUGAGAAGUUUUAUCAAAAAGCAGUUGUUUCUUAUACUGUUAACAUAAAUUCCAAUAAAAUAUCAAAAUCGGAAUUCGAUCUUUGCUUUAAUUUAUGAGUUUUCUCUUCCUUGUAUAUGUAUAAGUACAUGUGCAUACAUAGAUAUAGGCGUACAUUAUCGGAAAUGGAAUAUACAUUUUACAUAUAUCAUAUCGCGUACAAA